ensembl:lncRNA
AGGCUAGUUUCCCCAUGUCAAGAUCCUUCCUUUAACCACAUCUGCAAAGUCUGCUGUGCCGUGUCAGUGCCUCCCAUUGACCAAAUCCAGUGAGAAACCAGAGGGCAAGAGAACCCACUGAUGCGUCUAGCGGAGCAAAUGGAAGACGCUCAGCUUAAUGGCUGACUACAAGACACACACAGAAAAAUAAAUCAAGGGAGCACGUGACCCCACCACAUGUCCUGCAGCUACUCUAUCAGACCAGGAGAAGUGAGGCUGAAAGUCCCCAUUUUCCUGCUCCGUGGGAGUCUUCAAAAUGAUCAGCCACAACAAGCAGAGACAGAAAUGGAACUGAGCUGAAAAUCAGUGUGUCUUUUCCCACUUCUGUCUGGACCAUCUGCAAAAGAGAUCCAGGACUUCCUUGAAAAUUACCAGGACAUCAUCAGUGUGUUCCUUGUUAAUAUUUUUUCACCUGAGGACUUCAGGCUUUCCCAGGAUGUUCCUUCAUACAUCCAAACAACAGAAGAAGGGAGGUAGGAAGUACAAACCCCAAUUUUAAGUGGGAAAAAAAGCAGCAGAUCUCAGCCUGCUACAGUCUUAACAUAAUGUCUGAUCAGAAGGAAUUGCAGCCAUCCCUGGUGGCUCAUCCCUGGUCUGCCUGCAAUGCAGGAGACCUGGGUUUGUACCCUGGGUUGGCAAGAUCCCCUGGAGGAGGGCAUGGCAACCCACUCCAGUAUUCUUGCCUGGAGAAUUCCAUGGACAGAGGAGCCUGGUGGGCUACAGUCCAUGGAGUAGCAAAGAGUCGAAUAGGACUGAGCAACUAAUACUUUAACUUUCUCUUAUAAUUCAGGAACUGGUGAACACAUUUAAAAAUAAAUGGGUCCCCUGAGCCAUCUUUCUUCCUCUUCCUCUUACCCGUAUUCUAAUGAUUUCUUUAGGAGAAAAGUUUAUAGA